GAUUAAGUUAUUAAGGGCGCACGGUGGAUGCCUUGGCACUAGAAGCCGAUGAAGGACGUUACUAACGACGAUAUGCUUUGGGGAGCUGUAAGUAAGCUUUGAUCCAGAGAUUUCCGAAUGGGGAAACCCAGCAUGAGUUAUGUCAUGUUAUCGAUAUGUGAAUACAUAGCAUAUCAGAAGGCACACCCGGAGAACUGAAACAUCUUAGUACCCGGAGGAAGAGAAAGAAAAUUCGAUUCCCUUAGUAGCGGCGAGCGAAACGGGAAGAGCCCAAACCAACAAGCUUGCUUGUUGGGGUUGUAGGACACUCUAUACGGAGUUACAAAGGACGACAUUAGACGAAUCAUCUGGAAAGAUGAAUCAAAGAAGGUAAUAAUCCUGUAGUCGAAAAUGUUGUCUCUCUUGAGUGGAUCCUGAGUACGACGGAGCACGUGAAAUUCCGUCGGAAUCUGGGAGGACCAUCUCCUAAGGCUAAAUACUCUCUAGUGACCGAUAGUGAACCAGUACCGUGAGGGAAAGGUGAAAAGCACCCCGGAAGGGGAGUGAAAUAGAACCUGAAACCGUGUGCUUACAAGUAGUCAGAGCCCGUUAAUGGGUGAUGGCGUGCCUUUUUGUAGAAUGAACCGGCGAGUUACGAUUUGAUGCAAGGUUAAGCAGUAAAUGUGGAGCCGUAGCGAAAGCGAGUCUGAAUAGGGCGUUUAGUAUUUGGUCGUAGACCCGAAACCAGGUGAUCUACCCUUGGUCAGGUUGAAGUUCAGGUAACACUGAAUGGAGGACCGAACCGACUUACGUUGAAAAGUGAGCGGAUGAACUGAGGGUAGCGGAGAAAUUCCAAUCGAACCUGGAGAUAGCUGGUUCUCUCCGAAAUAGCUUUAGGGCUAGCCUCAAGUGAUGAUUAUUGGAGGUAGAGCACUGUUUGGACGAGGGGCCCCUCUCGGGUUACCGAAUUCAGACAAACUCCGAAUGCCAAUUAAUUUAACUUGGGAGUCAGAACAUGGGUGAUAAGGUCCGUGUUCGAAAGGGAAACAGCCCAGACCACCAGCUAAGGUCCCAAAAUAUAUGUUAAGUGGAAAAGGAUGUGGCGUUGCCCAGACAACUAGGAUGUUGGCUUAGAAGCAGCCAUCAUUUAAAGAGUGCGUAAUAGCUCACUAGUCGAGUGACACUGCGCCGAAAAUGUACCGGGGCUAAACAUAUUACCGAAGCUGUGGAUUGUCCUUUGGACAAUGGUAGGAGAGCGUUCUAAGGGCGUUGAAGCAUGAUCGUAAGGACAUGUGGAGCGCUUAGAAGUGAGAAUGCCGGUGUGAGUAGCGAAAGACGGGUGAGAAUCCCGUCCACCGAUUGACUAAGGUUUCCAGAGGAAGGCUCGUCCGCUCUGGGUUAGUCGGGUCCUAAGCUGAGGCCGACAGGCGUAGGCGAUGGAUAACAGGUUGAUAUUCCUGUACCACCUAUAAUCGUUUUAAUCGAUGGGGGGGACGCAGUAGGAUAGGCGAAGCGUGCGAUUGGAUUGCACGUCUAAGCAGUAAGGCUGAGUAUUAGGCAAAUCCGGUACUCGUUAAGGCUGAGCUGUGAUGGGGAGAAGACAUUGUGUCUUCGAGUCGUUGAUUUCACACUGCCGAGAAAAGCCUCUAGAUAGAAAAUAGGUGCCCGUACCGCAAACCGACACAGGUAGUCAAGAUGAGAAUUCUAAGGUGAGCGAGCGAACUCUCGUUAAGGAACUCGGCAAAAUGACCCCGUAACUUCGGGAGAAGGGGUGCUCUUUAGGGUUAACGCCCAGAAGAGCCGCAGUGAAUAGGCCCAAGCGACUGUUUAUCAAAAACACAGGUCUCUGCUAAACCGUAAGGUGAUGUAUAGGGGCUGACGCCUGCCCGGUGCUGGAAGGUUAAGAGGAGUGGUUAGCUUCUGCGAAGCUACGAAUCGAAGCCCCAGUAAACGGCGGCCGUAACUAUAACGGUCCUAAGGUAGCGAAAUUCCUUGUCGGGUAAGUUCCGACCCGCACGAAAGGCGUAACGAUUUGGGCACUGUCUCAACGAGAGACUCGGUGAAAUCAUAGUACCUGUGAAGAUGCAGGUUACCCGCGACAGGACGGAAAGACCCCGUGGAGCUUUACUGUAGCCUGAUAUUGAAAUUCGGCACAGCUUGUACAGGAUAGGUAGGAGCCUUUGAAACGUGAGCGCUAGCUUACGUGGAGGCGCUGGUGGGAUACUACCCUAGCUGUGUUGGCUUUCUAACCCGCACCACUUAUCGUGGUGGGAGACAGUGUCAGGCGGGCAGUUUGACUGGGGCGGUCGCCUCCUAAAAGGUAACGGAGGCGCUCAAAGGUUCCCUCAGAAUGGUUGGAAAUCAUUCAUAGAGUGUAAAGGCAUAAGGGAGCUUGACUGCGAGACCUACAAGUCGAGCAGGGUCGAAAGACGGACUUAGUGAUCCGGUGGUUCCGCAUGGAAGGGCCAUCGCUCAACGGAUAAAAGCUACCCCGGGGAUAACAGGCUUAUCUCCCCCAAGAGUUCACAUCGACGGGGAGGUUUGGCACCUCGAUGUCGGCUCAUCGCAUCCUGGGGCUGUAGUCGGUCCCAAGGGUUGGGCUGUUCGCCCAUUAAAGCGGUACGCGAGCUGGGUUCAGAACGUCGUGAGACAGUUCGGUCCCUAUCCGUCGUGGGCGUAGGAAAUUUGAGAGGAGCUGUCCUUAGUACGAGAGGACCGGGAUGGACAUACCUCUGGUGUACCAGUUGUCGUGCCAACGGCAUAGCUGGGUAGCUAUGUGUGGACGGGAUAAGUGCUGAAAGCAUCUAAGCAUGAAGCCCCCCUCAAGAUGAGAUUUCCCAACUUCGGUUAUAAGAUCCCUCAAAGAUGAUGAGGUUAAUAGGUUCGAGGUGGAAGCAUGGUGACAUGUGGAGCUGACGAAUACUAAUCGAUCGAAGACUUAAUCAA
rnacentral:rRNA from 1 species